rfam:Aedes aegypti strain Liverpool supercont1.326 genomic scaffold, whole genome shotgun sequence.
CAAUCGGCCCUUUUCAGGGCCACGAAAUCAAUGAAAAAAAUAUAUU